UGGUCAAAAUAAUAUUAUUGACACGAUUAUUAUUUCAUCAUAGCUCAUAGGUAAUUUAAUCAAUUAGUAAGGUCAGAUUAAUGAAAUAAAUUUCUCCAUCUAUUUUAAUAUUCACCUGAGAAGAAGGCGAAAGCAGGCUAAUCCAAUCACAGUUUCAGCACCUCUUUAUAGAAACCCAAUUACCACAUUUCACAUCUAGAGAGAGUGAUCAGUGGGAGAUGGCAAAGGGUCUGAUAUGGGCAACAGCAGAGGACUUAGCAAGAAACAGAGGAAGAGUACUUUCACUGUAUAGACAGAUUUUAAGGAGCCUCAACUCGCCCGCUUUGCCUUUGAAUCUGGCUGCUAGAUUGUCCAAGAAAGCCGAGGUUCGUGCAAUCUUUAUGCUGGGUUCUGAAGAACGAUCCAUCCACAACAUUGAGGACCUUAUAGAUGCCGCAGAGUACUCUCUAUCUCUGUUGAGGAAAGGUGAAAUGCCAAAGCACAUCCAGUAAUUGAGUGAUGGAUGUCUAUAUCACUUCCUAUGGACUAAGCAAGCUGUAUACUUGAAUUGAGUUUGUUUCUGUCUGGAGUUGAUACUCUCCCAUAACUGUAGUUGGAAGUAUAUGACUGAUAACUGGAAAGGCUGUCCUACAACUGUUUUUGUGUAGCAGGAAUUUUCGUUUGUCGAUGAAUAAUAGUUGAUGAAACCAAAUUUACUAACGAGAUACUUACUAGUAUCUGGGGGAGUUGUCCUUCAACUCAACUCUAAAUGCCUAGUGGAAUUAAUGUUGAGAGAUGCUAACUUUAGUUGUGUCCUUAGAGAGUAGGUACUAGGUUGUUUUAUUUUAUUGUGUGUGUGUGUUUGAACUGGAACUGUGGCCAUGCUAAAGUUGUACCAAGUAGUUUUAUCUUAGGAAUCGUAAUAUACUUAGUUGUAAAUCCAAUUUUACUUUCUUUUGAAGUAAGAUGGGAAGAUGAUGGAGCUUCUCGGAUUUGCUGAAUUGGAAAUUUCUGAAUCUCCCAACAAA